rnacentral:snoRNA from 1 species
AAUGAAUGAUGACAAAAUGUUUCGGUCCCAGAUGACGUGGAAUGAUUCUGUUUUCCCCAUUUUCUGACAUU